rnacentral:lncRNA from 1 species
CUGCGCUUCACUUCCUCACUCGUACGGAGGCUGUAUGAAUGGUUAGGAGCAGGACAGUCAUGAGAGAAAGGCUGUUUGCAGGUUUUAUGUUCGCGAUCGUUUCAUUUACGGGAUAUAGUCGGGCUUCUGAAAAAAAGGAAGAAUGUCCUGCAAAGCAGGAAAUCUCAUGUGAGAGCCUGCGCACGACUGAGGGGUUUACUUACCCGGUGCCCUUGAACAUUCCAAACUCCGGAUAUUGCGAGUAUGCGUGGUAUAAGGUUGGUUUAGGAUUGAAUUGUUAA